GGGCCCGUAGCUCAGCCAGGUAGAGCGGCGGGCUCUUAACCCGUAGACCACAAGCUGGGCGGAGGUCCCGGGUUCAAAUCCCGGCGGGCCCGCCA
rnacentral:tRNA from 1 species